UGGGGAAUAUUGCACAAUGGGCGCAAGCCUGAUGCAGCCAUGCCGCGUGUAUGAAGAAGGCCUUCGGGUUGUAAAGUACUUUCAGCGGGGAGGAAGGCGAUAAGGUUAAUAACCUUGUCGAUUGACGUUACCCGCAGAAGAAGCACCGGCUAACUCCGUGCCAGCAGCCGCGGUAAUACGGAGGGUGAAAGCGUUAAUAGGAAUUACUGGGCGUAAAGCGCACGCAGGCGGUCUGUCAAGUCGGAUGUGAAAUCCCCGGGCUCAACCUGGGAACUGCAUUCGAAACUGGCAGGCUAGAGUCUUGUAGAGGGGGGUAGAAUUCCAGGUGUAGCGGUGAAAUGCGUAGAGAUCUGGAGGAAUACCGGUGGCGAAGGCGGCCCCCUGGACAAAGACUGACGCUCAGGUGCGAAAGCGUGGGGAGCAAACA
rnacentral:rRNA from 1 species